GACGUAGGGCGCGAGCGUUGUCCGGAUUUAUUGGGCGUAAAGAGCUCGUAGGCGGCUUGUCGCGUCGAAUGUGAAAUCUCAGGGCUCAACUCUGACAUUGCAUUCGAUACGGGCAGGCUAGAGUUCGGUAGGGGAGACUGGAAUUCCUGGUGUAGCGGUGAAAUGCGCAGAUAUCAGGAGGAACACCAAUAGCGAAGGCAGCUCGCUGGGACGUUACUGACACUGAGGCGCGAAAGCGUGGGGAGCAAACAGG
rnacentral:rRNA from 1 species